rnacentral:pre_miRNA from 1 species
CAAGUACUCCCUCCGUCCGGAAUUACUUGUCAUCAAAAUGGAUGUGUCUAGAACUAANAAAUGGAUGUGUCUAGAACUAAAAUACAUCUAGAUACAUCCAUUUCAAUGACAAGUAUUUUCAGACGGAGGGAGUACAAG